UUUUCUGUGGCUUAGUUGGUUAAAGCGCUUGACUAGCGAUAAGGAGUCGUGAGCUCCAAUCCCACCAUAACAA
rfam:Aedes albopictus isolate Foshan contig44893, whole genome shotgun sequence.